UGGUUACAAGCAGCAGAGCUGCUUUCAGCUGCCUGAGGCCACAUACAAAAGAAAAGAGAUGAAGAAAUAAGAGAAAUGUUCUCCAAGGUUGAAGAGAGGCACUAUUCAGUUUCCUGGUUAACAGACUCUCCGGAGUGUGACUCAUAAGCCCUUGCAGCUCAGACAGCGUUGCAGAAUGAGCUACCAGCAACCUCUUUGUCCUUCACAUGAUGUUACUGAAUCAGCUCAAGAUAACUCAUACCUUGGAGCAACCUCACAUUGCAACAUGCCUAUGUUUCCAUACCUGCCAUUGAUCAUCAUUUUCCAAUUAUUGCAACAUGAGAAGCACACAUGGUUUCCAGACUGCAC
rnacentral:lncRNA from 1 species